rnacentral:rRNA from 1 species
AGGACGAACGCUGGCGGCGUGCUUAACACAUGCAAGUCGAACGGUGACCUUCGGAGCUUGCUCCGAGGUGAUCAGUGGCGAACGGGUGAGUAACACGUGAGUAACCUGCCCCAGACUCUGGGAAUAACCCCGGGAAACCGGAGCUAAUACCGGAUAUGACACGGAGAGGCAUCUCCACCGUGUGGAAAGUUUUUCGGUCUGGGAUGGACUCGCGGCCUAUCAGCUUGUUGGUGAGGUAAUGGCUCACCAAGGCGACGACGGGUA